UCCGGUUUAACACCGGCAGUCUCCAUAGAGUGCCCAACUAAAUGAUGGCAACUAGGGAUAAGGGUUGCGCUCGUUAAGGGACUUAACCCGACAUCUCACGAUACGAGCUGACGACAGCCAUGCAGCACCUGUCUCUGAGCCACCGAAGUGGAAGUCCUAUCUCUAGGAUUGUCUCAGGAUGUCAAAUCCAGGUAAGGUUCUUCGCGUUGCAUCGAAUUAAACCACAUGCUCCACCGCUUGUGCGGGCCCCCGUCAAUUCCUUUGAGUUUUAACCUUGCGGCCGUACUUCCCAGGCGGGGUACUUAAUGCGUUAGCGUCGGCACUGCAGGGGUCAAUUCCUACAACACCUAGUACCCAUCGUUUACAGCGUGGACUAC
rnacentral:misc_RNA from 1 species